rnacentral:lncRNA from 1 species
UAAUAGCCGAAUUUUUUAUUCCGAAUUUUUAAUUGAUGGACGUAUAAUAUCUGUAUAAAUCAUGUAUCUGAAUAAUUGGCGAAUCUAUUUUUUAGCCGUAUUUUUCAACAAAUUUAAAAAUUAAAAGGCGAAUUUUAUCCGAAUUAUAUUCGUUUCGAAUUUUUGCCGAAUCCGAAUUAACUAGGAAAGAGUGAUCAACCCAUCCAACACCAAGCAAAUGAACAACAACAAAAAGCUAAUCUUCA